GUCUUUGUAGAGGCAUCUGAUAAAAUUAGAAUGAUUCAAAGAAGAUUAUCAUGGCCCUGUGAAGGGAUGGCAUGUAUAUAAUAGAAAUGGUUCAAAUUUUA